AAAAAAAAAAAAAAAGAAAGAAAAAAGAAACCCUUCACACCAUCCCUCCUUGCUGAAGCUAGCUACAGACCCUCAGGGCUCAGCUGGGAGGGAUUUAUUGGAGAAUUUCAAUCAUGGGGUCUUGGCUCAAACUUGUUGCUUCCCUCAAAAAAUCUGCCCAGAAGUUUGAUUACAUGUGGGAUUGGGGCACGAGGGGCCAGUCUGAUGAUCUCGCAAUUCAGAAUUCCACCUGGGCCUCUGGGAGUGUUGCAGCCCCGAGAGGAAGAGAACAGGACACAGGACAGCCAGCGAGAGCGGGUUCUGACAUGAUGCGGAGUGGAAAUCUUGGACGCCUAAUGACAUAUUUCUACCCAGGAAGAAUUUUGAAUUCCGAAGGCACACUUGAUUAAAACCCCAAACCCUGAGCAGUUGCUGAUGGAACCACCCGACACUUUGACUUCUGGGUGUCAGUGCUUAAUUAAAAUAUUCACCCAGCUGCUCUUCCCUUGCCAAGGGGACCCAAAGGAAUUAAACCAAUAAGCUUAAUUCCGUUAGGUCACCUGCCUGUGUAUACAGAGACAUGGAAGACCAUUUACCAGUUCAGAAAUAAAGUGUCAGAUCCACCCAGCAAACCCAGCGUGGACCACACAGCAAACCAGUCCCCGAGAUGGACAGCAUCACCCUCUGCCAUCUCCGUUUCCAGCUUGGAACACACGCAGCUAUUUUUAAGGUCUCUUCCAGUAUGACCAAAGUGACGCACUAGUCAAUACAAGGAUUACUAUGCCAAGAUUGAUUUGCGUGUUGUUUAUAAAACACACAGCUUUUACUGACUCCUCCAGGCUAUGUUUGUGUCUCAAAGAUGUAAAUACUAUUGUUAUGGGGCCAUUCCACUUGACGGAUGAAGAAACUGAGGCCGAGUGAUGAAGGCCCCAAAUGGUCUGCCUUGUUUAACAGAGCCUGCUAAACCCUCGCUACCUAGAACGGAGAGCUUUGUGACAUUUUAAUCUUUGCUUUAAAUGUUGACCUAUUUGCCAUCUGCCACACACACACACACAGCAUGCGGCAUUGAGACGGCUCAAAGGCUAGGAGUCAGCACCAUUGCUAGCCUGCCCUCGGCCUCCUCUUCUUGUCCUGCAGGUAAGCUUUGGACAAUUUCUCAUGACCCCCACCUCCUGAAAGUAGAGAUCAGCAGAUAGGUGCACGUCCUCUGGAGUACACACAGAACACAGCUAGUGAACAGCCCUGCAACUUACAUUUGCAUUUAAUAAUAUAUGGUAGGGUGGCAUCUCCAUCUCUCUGCUAAGUCUGCAAGCCAUCCCAUUCAAUGGAUGUGCUAGAAAGAGACUCAUAUGUGCAUAACAUUCCACCGCUGUUUACUAGCAAAGGUGCUGACAUGCCAUUCACUCCCCACCACCCUCUCCUUUGGUCGUCCAUCUUCAGUGACCGGCCGUGGAGACAGCGCUACUCUUUGAUGCCCUCCUCAGCAGAACUGAGACGAGUGCUUUCUCCAUCAUCUGCAGAAUAGUGUGCUGCCUAGAAACACCACUAACUCUCAGCUAGAUCAAGGCUCCGUGUUCGGUCCAUGCUCUGUGAUCCCACAUCCUAGCUAUAGCUUUCCUGCCUCAACCUCAAAACUGUCAGGACAGCUCCAGCUCAGGGUCCCCCAGAUCACUGUGCAAACAGAUGUCUUUCUGCCAGUGCCACUAGUCAGUUCCCAGAUGGCCUUAUUUGUCACACAGGAAAUGAGACAUAUCCCUGUGAUCAAUGCAAAUGGAACCGAGAGCCAUCCGAGAACAGCGUGAGCCCUGUUUAGUGACGAGCACCUGAGUAUGGGACUGUGCUGCCCUGACAAGGCCAGCAGACUUGAAGUCCUAGGUCGUAACUGUUUAGUGCAGAGGUGUGAGCGUGGAGUCCAGCCAUGUCCUCGGACAAAGCACAGGCAGGAAUCAUGCAGAUCUGUGGAGGCUGCAGGACCUGCCUGCAGGCUGCUUGUCCUCAGCUUCCUGCAGGCCACCUGUUCCUAGGCGCAGCCGAAUUUGCCAGCUGGGCUGUGGUGGAGCCUGCAUGCUGGCCAGCCAGUGGUGUCCAGAGCCACAGUCCUGGUUAUUUACAGCUUGCUAGGGUCCCCAGCCAUGUGUACACUCGGCUGCAGAACCAGGUUUCUGGGCAGAGCCGCCAGCAUGUGCACAGCUGUAUGGGAUACAUCUUUUCUUAUUGUAAAUGAACCCAGCUAGCUGAACACAGAGGGGAAACACACACACACACACACACACACACACACACAGAGUGAGAGAGAGAGAGAGAGAAAGAGAGAGAGAGAGAGAGAGAGAGAGAGAGAACCUAGUAGCUGUGAGUGCCAUCUCGUCAUCUCUCAAUCUUUCUACUGAUUUGAUAAUUAUCUGCAGAUACAACUGGGGCCAGAAUGAGAGCAGAAGCAGGCACGAAAGGGAGAUGGAUGGGCAGUGAUUUCUUUCCAAGGGUUUGAUAUUUUCACAUAUUGUUGUUUGUUACCUGUGGGCAAUAAAUUAGAUUUUUAACUA